GUGGGAGUAGCUCAGUUUUGGUUAGAGCAACCGAUUGCAAUUAUCGGUAGGUCGUGGGUUCGAAUCCCACUUCCCACU
rnacentral:tRNA from 1 species